rnacentral:rRNA from 1 species
AGGACGAACGCUGGCGGCGUGCCUAAUACAUGCAAGUCGAACGGUCUUUCUAUGGAAGCUUGCUUCCACUGAGAAGAUAGUGGCGAACGGGUGAGUAACACGUGGGUAACCUGCCCAUAAGAGGGGGAUAACAUCCGGAAACGGGUGCUAAUACCGCAUAGUUUUCUUGAUCGCAUGAUUGAGAAAGGAAAGACGGCCUUUGUGCUGUCGCUUAUGGAUGGACCCGCGGCGUAUUAGUUAGUUGGUGAGGUAACGGCUCACCAAGACGAUGAUACGUAGCCGACCUGAGAGGGUGAUCGGCCACAUUGGGACUGAGACACGGCCCAAACUCCUACGGGAGGCAGCAGUAGGGAAUCUUCCGCAAUGGACGAAAGUCUGACGGAGCAACGCCACGUGAGUGAAGAAAGGUUUUCGGAUCGUAAAACUCUGUUGUCAGAGAAGAACAAGUUGGAGAGUAACUGCUCCAGCCUUGACGGUAUCUGACCAGAAAGCCACGGCUAACUACGUGCCAGCCGCCGC